rnacentral:ncRNA from 2 species
GGGUCUGGGAACAGCAUUCCCAGAGGUUAAAUGCGAUAGUCGGGCCGCUAUCC